UAGGGAAUCUUCCGCAAUGGACGCAAGUCUGACGGAGCAACGCCGCGUGAGUGAAGAAGGAUUUCGGUUCGUAAAACUCUGUUGUUAGAGAAGAACAGCGCAUAGAGUAACUGUUAUGCGUGUGACGGUAUCUAACCAGAAAGCCACGGCUAACUACGUGCCAGCAGCCGCGGUAAUACGUAGGUGGCAAGCGUUGUCCGGAUUUAUUGGGCGUAAAGCGAGCGCAGGCGGUCAAUUAAGUCUGAUGUGAAAGCCCCCGGCUCAACCGGGGAGGGUCAUUGGAAACUGGUUGACUUGAGUGCAGAAUAGGAGAGUGGAAUUCCAUGUGUAGCGGUGAAAUGCGUAGAUAUAUGGAGGAACCCCAGUUGCGAAGGCGACUCUCUGGUCUGUAACUGACGCUGAGGCUCGAAAGCGUGGGUAGCAAAAAGG
rnacentral:rRNA from 1 species